GACGAACGCUGGCGGCGUGCUUAACACAUGCAAGUCGAACGGAAAGGCCCUGCUUUUGUGGGGUGCUCGAGUGGCGAACGGGUGAGUAACACGUGAGUAACCUGCCCUUGACUUUGGGAUAACUUCAGGAAACUGGGGCUAAUACCGGAUAGGAGCUCCUGCUGCAUGGUGGGGGUUGGAAAGUUUCGGCGGUUGGGGAUGGACUCGCGGCUUAUCAGCUUGUUGGUGGGGUAGUGGCUUACCAAGGCUUUGACGGGUAGCCGGCCUGAGAGGGUGACCGGCCACAUUGGGACUUGAGAUACGGCCCAGACUCCUACGGGAGGCAGCAGUGGGAAAUAUUGCACAAUGGGCGGAAGCCUGAUGCAGCAACGCCGCGUGCGGGAUGACGGCCUUCGGGUUGUAAACCGCUUUCGCCUGUGACGAAGCGUGAGUGACGGUAAUGGGUAAAGAAGCACCGGCUAACUACGUG
rnacentral:rRNA from 1 species